AUUGAACGCUGGCGGCAGUCCUAACACAUGCAAGUCGAGCGGAUGAAGGGAGCUUGCUCCUGGAUUCAGCGGCGGACGGGUGAGUAAUGCCUAGGAAUCUGCCUGGUAGUGGGGGAUAACGUCCGGAAACGGGCGCUAAUACCGCAUACGUCCUGAGGGAGAAAGUGGGGGAUCUUCGGACCUCACGCUAUCAGAUGCGCCUAGGUCGGAUUAGCUAGUUGGUGGGGUAAAGGCCUACCAAGGCGACGAUCCGUAACUGGUCUGAGAGGAUGAUCAGUCACACUGGAACUGAGACACGGUCCAGACUCCUACGGGAGGCAGCAGUGGGGAAUAUUGGACAAUGGGCGAAAGCCUGAUCCAGCCAUGCCGCGUGUGUGAAGAAGGUCUUCGGAUUGUAAAGCACUUUAAGUUGGGAGGAAGGGCAGUAAGUUAAUACCUUGCUGUUCUGACGUUACCAACAGAAUAAGCACCGGCUAACUUCGU
rnacentral:rRNA from 1 species